GACGAACGCUGGCGGCGUGCUUAACACAUGCAAGUCGAACGGAAAGGCCUGCUUUCCCUUGUGGAUUGCGGGUACUCGAGAGGCGAACGGGUGAGUAACACGUGAGUGAUCUGCCCCCAACUUGGGUAUAAGCCUGGGAAACUGGGUCUAAUUCCCGAUAGGACUGCAGGGUGGUGCCUGUGGUGGAAAACGAUUUUCUAGUGGUUGGGGAUGAGCUCGCGGCCUAUCAGCUUGUUGGUGGGGUAAUGGCCUACCAAGGCGGCGACGGGUAGCCGGCCUGGGAGGGUGGACGGCCACAUUGGGACUGAGAUACGGCCCAGACUCCUACGGGAGGCAGCAGUGGGGAAUAUUGCACAAUGGGCGGAAGCCUGAUGCAGCGACGCCGCGUGGGGGAUGACGGCCUUCGGGUUGUAAACUCCUUUCGACCGCGAGGAAGCCACCUGGUUGGAAGGGUGGUGACGGUAGUGGUAGAAGAAGCACCGGCUAACUACGUG
rnacentral:rRNA from 1 species